UUUUUUUUUUUAUUAUGCAUAAUGUGACCAAUUAUUUAUUAUUAGUAAAAUCAGGUAUAGAAUUUCAAUUGGACUGCAUUUUACUUGGAGCAUGCACAAAUUUUAUUUUGCUUUAUUUUUUCGAAUAAAAAUAUAUUUCUCGACCGUUUUUUCAGUUCACAUGUAUUAUUGAAACUUUACGAUACAUUUUUUUUUUCUACAAAAAUUCUAAAAAAACAGACGGGCUAUUAACAUCGCGCAAGCCAGCUGUCUCUGAGAAGGCAAUUAUCUGUCUUCCACCUCCGUACUGGAUGCAUGAUCAUCAUAUAUAUAUAUGUAUACUUACUGUACAAUGGAUGACAUGUAGUAAGUAAUAAUGAUGCAUGUACUCGAAAAACAAUAAAGGAGUGUGACAGCUAGGGCGUGGACCGUGGAGACAGUGUGGGUCGCCGGGGUUUGUUUCUGACAUUUGAUCAGAGUCAGACCUACCUGCCCGCCCUGGUAAAGCUAAACAUUUGUCCACCUGAUUUAUUCAAAGCUCACCGGCUAGUUGUACCAUUUUGGAUUUGGUGGGACACCCACACCACUUGAAAUUGGAUACUGUUAAAAGAGUGGCAUCAUAAUUAAAUAAGAUUUUUCUCUCUGAUGAAUGUCCAGUUUUUUAUGAAUACAUUUAUCAUGUGAAUUCAUACAAUUUUUUUUUUAAUUAAACAAUUUAACAUAUGAACUGCACCUUAUUAGGGAGUGUUCACUGGGCAUUUGCUUGACAGAUCUAUAAGGGGAUUUUCUCAUAAUUAAAUACUUGAGUCGUCACACACACGGAGUAUGCUUGGAUAAGUUAUUAUUUGAAAAAAAAUUAAUUAUGUUAUAAAUACAUUUUUGGCCUCACAAAUCCCAAUCACUUUUUUAUCUUCCCAACCACCUUUUUAUCUCACAUACAUCACAUCACAAAAGUGCUACAGUAAAUAUCUCAAAUAAAUCAUCCAAAUAAACUCUUAUCCAAACAAACUCACUAUUGAUAUUCGAAUAAGCUGUUAUUAGAUGGAUGCUCACAAUUAUUUUUAGCUCUUGAAUUGCAAAAUAGCUUUUUUAUUAUUGCUAUUGACAAAUGCGAGUGGUUAGAUCUAAACUAUCAUUUAAUAAUUACAACAUAGCUUUCAAAAGAGUAGAGUGUUACGCUGCCAACUGUGGUUGACCAAGGCAUUGACUUGAAAUGACCAUGUCCUAUGAUUUCUUUUUAAUAAUUACUGUAUUACUUUUUCAAUUUGUAAUUUUUUGGAAACUGCCCUUUCUAAAUUAAGCUAGAAACCAUAAAAUCAUAAUCCUUCCUUCUGAGAAUGGAUUAACUACUCCCCUAUAUAUGCAGAUGCUAUACGCUGGAGUGAGUAGUUAGUUCAUUUAAACGGCCGCUUGGUGUCUUCCCACUAACUAAUAAACAAGAAUGGAUUAGUGAGAAGUGGGAGGGACGAUAGGGACUCGUUUAGCAUCGCUCGUAAUACUCUCUCAUUCUCAUCGCUCCUGGCAGGAAAUGAAUUUGGAUCCCCACUCGAGCAGCGUAAAUAUUGAAGAAUAUGAAUUUGGAUUUUGGAGUGAAGACCAUAAAACCAACACGCCAUCAAUCAAGAGAUUUGAGAAUGAGCUAGCUAUUGAUUCCACUUGAUUGAUACCUACUACAACGAUAAUAAUAGCCUCUCACAACAAUGAAUAUAAUUAAAUUGGAAGAAAAAUAUAGAUAAUAUAUAAUGAGAGCGCUAUAGCAGAGGCUCUCUCUUAUUCUUUCUUUAUGUGCACACACACUUGUUGUUUUGCAGAGCAAAUCCUGAGCGGAGAAGUACUCAAGGACACUUGCGGACAACCUUUCCGGUGGAUUUAUUGACUGUGGUGAGCUUGUAAUAGCAGGGACAGGCUUCGUAGUUGCCAGAAGUUCCAGGAGGGACGCAGCUGCACUUGGCACAGCAGCUCCCGCAAGCCCUCUUGCAAAGAUUAGGCCUCUUUGUCUUCGAGCAUCGAUACCCACAAGCAGCACCACAAUCUGAAUUAGUACACGACAGAAUCAAAUGAAAAUCCGCAUUGAACCCAGAUAGGGAAAUCUACUGUGAAUGCAAGUUAACGGUAUGAGGAUUUAAAGUCAUGCAAAUUCACUGAAGUUCACGGUACCUAUCGGCUUGGGGGCUGGCAGAGGGCUCGGACUUGGACUUGGAAUCCCUUUGCUCACCUGCCAAAAUUAUUCACACAAACGGGUUAUUCCAAAUUGCCAGAAAAGGUUGAUUCCGCGCUCCAUUUUUUUUUUUUGGCCUUCAUAAAUUCAAAAAGAAGAAGAAGAAGAAGAAGAAAAAGAAAAGGUGGCAGGGCAUAAAGGGAGAUUGUACCACUUGGGCGGCGUCAGUGAGGUGGAUCAGCAGAAGAGCACUCAAAAUGAGAAAAGCACAGGCUUUGAGAAUUGCCAUCGUCUAAGAAAAACACACAACUACUACUAUUAUUAGCAGCAAGAAGCUGAGAGCAAUGGGCAAUAUGUAGAUGGAUUUGCUAAUCGCUACAGCUAGUGAGAUCAGAUGGGAUGUGAGGAAAUGAGGGACAGGAGAGAUGUAUAUAUAGCAGAGGAGAAGGGCAAUUGAAUUAAGUAGUACAGGGACAAAAGUGGUGGUGGGGUUGUACUUUGGAGUUAGGAUUUAGGAACUUAGGAGCUGGGGUUAGGCUUAAGCAAGGGCGGGAACAUUUUCUUUCCCACUUGCCUCACUAAUCACUAGGUUUGUAACACGGCUUGAGCUAAAUUGAGCAGGAAAUUGCUGGGAAGGUUGGUUUUGCUGUACCACCUCGAGCAGGGAUCACUAUUUCAAUUUAAUAUAGCAAAAAAUGGCCAAGGUCAGCUUGUAAUUUAGAGUGGCAUUCCAGAUACUUCAAUGGAGACAUUACACUCAUCGAUUUGUGGGCAAUAGUGGUUGCACAAGUGCAAAGGUGACAAAGGAAGCAUCUGUGAAAUUGGAAUAAAUGCCUUCAUCUAACUAUUUUAUGAGCAUGUACGACUCAUCUCCUUGAAAUUCUGCCCAUGCAAAUGCAGCAUUGCCGAUUGCUUAUGGUUUGCCAGGAGUUUCGCACCGUCUCUUUCUGUGAAUUGGUAGUUCUCAGACCAAUAAUAUCUCACAAUUUGCCACCCUGGAAUAUUAAGGUUUGUACUAAGCAAGCUGUAACUGUGCUCGUUAUUCACCCCUUUGCCUUUUGGACGCGCUUUCUGUAACAAAUAAAUUUUGUUUUUGAAGACAAAACACAUUACUAAUUGUUGAAAGCACAUUUAACUGGUGGAGAUACUUAUGAAAGUCUAAUUGCAUUUAUAUUCUAGAAACGGCCAUCUUCAAUAAUGCCGUUUAUGGUUUUGGUCAAAAGAGAGAAAAAUUUUACCUUUUUAUGGUUGGGACUUGGGAUGAGGCCAUCUUCAAUCCAUUUAUUUUAUAUUUGGGAAGUCAGCUUGUUUGAUAAUCUAAUUCAAUAUUUAAACUUAAUAUGGGUUCAAAUUUUAAUAUGUUCAGACACUUUCGAUAAUCAAAACUAGAAUAAAAUAUCUGAAUUAAUUAAAUGAUAUUGAAUUUUAUAGACAAAAGUUGCUCUAAUAAAUAAGUGAUAAAUUAUUCAUUUAUCACUUAAUGUGAUAUACACUUAAAUGUAUCAAAUUUAAUACUUAUAAUUCAGUAAUUUAAUGAAUUUCAAAUUUUAAAUUUUAAUUUUAUCGAACGCACGGUAAAGAAAUUAAGAAAAGGUUAGUUCAAGUUUACCAAUGUUCUUGAUUUGUCUUAAAGAUUAGACAAUCGGCCCAAAUAGUUGUGGGCUCAACCUUUCUAUUUCACUAACGGAAAGGAUUUAUGCAUUUUCUCGGUCGCAUUAAAACGACAUUAAACCCUUUAAUGGGCCUUGUUGAAACCUUUUUUCUAGUUAUAUUACGACGAACAGCUUUGUGGGACAACGUGGAGACAUUUUAUGGGCUAACUCUGUCUAUGUCCGCAAAGAGCCAUUUUGGAACAUUUGGGGAAAAAAAGUCACUCAGGGUUUAGCAGGUCUACUACCCCUCGGUAAGAAGGAAAAAAAAAAAACUAGCCCUUUGACAAGGAUUGCAUUAGAUAAUAAGAUGGACGGAUUAUAAAUAGGAGAUACUUUGUUCAAAAUCUCCCACUUCAAAAGAAGACAAAAAAAAGUCUACAACCUCUAUUAGAAUAACGUCAAGGACACCCAAAAACUACCUCGAAAAUAUGGAAAGGCUGCACGCCAAUAAAUUUCUUGAAAACUUGAUUUUAUAGGUUGAUUUCUUUGAACCUCAUCUAAUCGACUCAUUGCUAAAUUGGUCUCAGAGCUGAAGCAGCAGACUGCAUUUGGCCUUGACAUUUUUAGCUUGUUUGUUGCUGUUUACUGUAACACAACAAAAAUCUGGCUACAAACGAAGCAAAUUAGUUAUAAUCUCUAGUCUUCUAAUUAAGCUUCCCAGAUGAUGCCUUCAAUAUAUAGUAGUAACCCAUCAAAAUAAAAAAACAACGAAAAGGAAAAUCAAACCUAAACUUGCUUUGCUUGGUUUAAGCCUAACUACUGACAACUGCGCAUUCAAGUCGGGGGCAGAUGUGAAACUUGCACUUUGGCCUCAUGUCUCAUGUGUACCUAACAGUCUCUUAACUCACGCUUACCCAUCCGUUAGGCGUCAACAACAUCUGUAUUUUUAUUUUUUUUAUAACGCCAUAUCAAGUGUAAUUUAAUCUACUCCUACUCUUACAGGAAGACUCUAUUCUAGGAGAUGGUUCAAUUGAGUCGAAAGAACCUGACGGGAACUGAACCAUCAUCAGACCAGACACAUUGAUGGGAGGUAAGAUUUGAACCAUUUACCUCUCACCCCAUAAUUAAUAUGGUGGUCAGCUUCUCUAGAGGGAGUUAACAACAUCUAUAUGGAGAACGCAUUUCUCGUCGGGAAUCCGAUAAUAUGCAGACGCAUCACUUUGCUCAAAUUAGUCAUCAUUUGCUUUCUUUGAUGUAGAAUCUCAAUUUUCAAGCCAAGCCAAGUGGUGAGAAUUAGUACCAAGCAAGCCAUUAACGCAAGCAAAGAUCAUAUGCUAAUUCAAGUAUCACAAAGCCCGCCAUGCUGUAUUCGGAUGUCCACGUGUUGGUAGUUGUCUCCAAGAAGGGUAGCUAGCUAACUAGCUGCCACGCCAUUGCAUUUCCCCUCCUCCUCUUGCUACAAACCUGUGCCGUUCAAUCAAUCUAACCUCCCCAAACCAAAAUUCCUAAUAGCCGUUCAAUAUAGACUUACCAACCACUCUCUAUAUAUAUGAAUCAAAAAACAUUAUUGUUCUUCAUCACAAGAAUCGUGUUGGUCCGCCGAUAUGUAAUUCAUUGUAUCCAGUGUAGGCAAAACAAGGAAGAAAGCUGACAUACUGAAACAGUGAGACAGAUGGCUCCCUCAACUCUCACAGCUCUAGCAGAGGAGAAGACGCUUCAAUCAAGCUUCAUCAGGGAUGAAGAUGAACGUCCCAAAGUGGCCUACAACCAAUUCAGCAACGAGAUUCCUAUCAUUUCUUUAAAGGGUCUUGAUGACACUGACGGUGCAAGACCUGAAAUUUGUAAAAAGAUUGUGGAAGCCUGCGAAGACUGGGGGAUUUUCCAGGUUAUUGAUCAUGGGGUUGAUGACAAACUCAUUUCUGACAUGACCCGCCUCGCUAGAGAAUUCUUCGCUUUGCCACCUGAAGAGAAGCUCCGAUUCGAUAUGUCAGGCGGCAAGAAAGGGGGAUUUAUCGUCUCAAGCCAUCUACAGGUAUAUAUCAUGCAUUUUUGGAUCAUACUCUUCUUCCAUUUUUAUCUCUUCUGGUUUGUUAAUGACUACUCUGGACAAAUUUUCAUGAAUUCAAGUCUCGAAAUUCUAUAAUAUCAGUAAUUGGCUCGUGUCAAUUAAGCACGCAACCACAAAUUGUAAUGGUGAGGAGAGAUGGACGAUUCUUGAUUUCAAGUCUGAAUCCAAUUGAACUAAAUUGGCCAAAUGGAUGCAUGAUCUUGAAACAAUUAUGCAGGGUGAAACUGUGCAAGACUGGCGUGAGAUUGUGACAUAUUUUUCCUAUCCAAUUCGGGCAAGGGAUUCCUCAAGGUGGCCAGACAAGCCAGAGGCAUGGAGGGCUGUGACAGAGAAAUAUAGCGAGAAGUUGAUGGAGCUGGCCUGUAAACUGUUGGAGGUAUUAUCAGAGGCAAUGGGAUUGGAAAAGGAAGCCUUAACUAAUGCAUGUGUGGACAUGGACCAAAAAGUUGUGGUGAACUUUUACCCAAAGUGUCCACAGCCUGACCUCACAUUGGGCCUCAAACGCCACACCGACCCUGGAACCAUCACUCUCUUGUUACAAGACCAAGUUGGUGGACUUCAGGCCACCAGGGACGGUGGCAAGACCUGGAUUACCGUCCAGCCUGUUGAAGGUGCUUUUGUUGUUAACCUUGGUGACCAUGGCCAUGUAAGUAAACUAAAUCUCCUCGUAAUUUACUCGCAAGAUGUUAGAAUUCCAUUCUCAAAUUGCUCUGCAGCUGUAGCUAGGUGGUAAACUCCUGCUUCAGAAGAUAUCAGUGGUCUUAAUACUUGAAAGCGAUUGAGAACAAUUGUUGUUUUCCCUAUUGUUGAUAAUGUGUGUGUGUGUGUGUAAGUGUGUGCGGUUUGAGAUAGUAAUCCAUGAUGAACCUUAGUUGUGAAUCUUUAUUUGCUGCUUGGCUUGGACAGUACUUGAGCAACGGGAGGUUCAAGAACGCAGAUCAUCAGGCUGUGGUAAACUCAAAUUGUAGCAGGUUGUCCAUAGCCACAUUUCAGAACCCGGCACCAGAGGCAACUGUGUAUCCACUGAAGAUCCGGGAGGGUGAGAAGGCGGUGCUUGAUGCUCCCAUGACCUUUUCAGAGAUGUACAGGAAGAAAAUGAGCAAGGACCUUGAGCUCGCGAGGCUGAAGAAGCUGGCCAAGGAGCAAGAGUUGCAAGCAGUUGAGAAAGCCAAGUUGGAGGCCAAGCCCAUUGAUGAGAUUUUUGCUUGAAACCUCCAUAGUUUGUUGUUUCACUACUAUUACUACUUGUUUGUGUUAUGCAUUCUCAAAAUUAGUGUUGUGGAUUUCAUGAAUAAGAAUGUAUGUUGCCAGAAGCAAAGCAUGAACUUUUAUUCAGAUUUCUCAAAGUAAUUUCCAAGACGCUAUAUUCUUUUUCUUUUUCUUUUUCUUUUUUAAGCUUUUAUAUGAUAGACCGUGAACAUUAAUUAAGCGAUUAUUACAGGUGGGAAAGAAAGCAAGAGCACUUGAUGAACCAUGAACUUGGUGCUUGUUAGGAUCGAAAGUAUUUAAAUUCAAAGGUUUAAAUUAAGUGGACUAAAAAAUGCUCAUUAACCACUUAUUAAAAAUAUUUUUUAACAGGUGAAAUUCAAUUGAGUGCAAAUAAAUGUGUGUGUGAAUAUGUUAUAUGCUUUUCUACCGGUCCCAAGGGACACACGUUAUUAUAUUACAUUAAUUAUUAUCAAACAUAGCAUAUGAAUGCACAAACUUACAUUUAUUGCACUCACAUUUAUUUUUUUUCAAAUAAAUAUCAAGUUUAUCAAAAUUAACGCUUAAGGCCUCCCUUAAUGAGUACCAAAUAGAUUUUAAGCACAUAAUUAUAUUAAAGAAGUACCUCAAGUGCUUCGUUUUCUUGAAUGAGUAAAGUUAAAUUGAAAAAAAAAACAAAAAACAAAAAACACAUGUUUAAAAGGGUAAUAAAUGCUGGUCUAUGUUUACAUAUUAAUCAUAUAUGUACUAACUAUAUAAUUGGCAGUAUAUACACUAACAUCUUUGAGUAUAUCUUAUAUGUGCAGAAAAAUAAAUUUCAAAUUCAUAUUAAGAUUAAAUAGCAGACAUCAAAAAGGUAUUAGUGUUACUCGGACACAAAGAUUAAUCCUGUAUUUCAAUGACAAGUUUGGGUGUAAAUUAAGUGUGUUGACAUCAAAAGCUUGUCAUCCCAGCAAAUUUUUUUUUUUCCCAAAACGUUAAGAUAAUUUCAUUCAUUGUAAAAAACUUUACUUGUCCGAGCAAAGGCUCAGUAAACUGUACGUUUAGUAUUCAAUGACGCUCAGAAAAUUCCAUUCCCCGCCCAAAAGAAUGCCUAAGGUCGUCCCAGUAAAAGGUCUAACGGAAAUCCAAAGCUUUUUUUUUUUGUAGGGGAUUUGACCAAUUAUAGAGUCCAUAUGCACCCGUAAUUUCGCCAUUCAACACUUAUGGGAACGAAAUUCAAAUCCUACACUAAAGUAUCUGAUUUUCGUCCAAUUAGUUUAUGCAAUGUAUUGUAUAAAAUUAUAACUAAGAGUAUGGCUAACCGAUUGCAGCAUAUUUUGCCCCAUAUUCUUGACGAAUCCCAAAGUGCUUUCGUCAAAGGUCGUCUUAUUAAUACUGAUAAUGUGAUUGUGGCAGUUGAGAUGUUUCAUUGGCUGGACCAUCGAAAGGAGAAUCAAGACAAGUACCUAGCCUUGAAGUUUGACAUGAGUAAAGCAUAUGACAGAGCAGAAUGGAAUUUUCUGGAGCAUAUGCUUAAUGCUACGGGUUUCCCAAGGAAAUGGAGCAGACUGGUAAUGGAUUGUGUGAGGUCAAUUUCUUUCUCAAUUUUAAUUAACGGAACCAAUCUGAUUGUUUCACUCCUUCCAGAGGUCUAAGGGCAAGGCGAUCCUUUGUCACUUUAUUUAUUUAUUUUAUGUCUGAUGGACUUUCAUCUCUUAUCAGGAAAAUGGAAAGACAGGGCCUUUGGAACGGAAUAAGAUUGGGUAAUGGAGGCCCUUUGAUUUCCCAUCUUUUAUUUGCUGACGACAGCUUGUUCUUUGUCAAAGCUGAUGAACAAGGUAUUCAAGCAAUUAUGGAAGCCCUUAAAACUUAUGAAAGGGCAUCGGGGCAGAAGGUGAAUCUUGGUAAAUCGCGACUCUAUUGUGGCAAGAACGUAUCAGAAGAAAUUCUGUGUGACAAAUUAGGAGUACAAGUUGAUGAUGGGAAAGGCGCAUACUUAGGAAUGUCGUAUAUGAUUGGCAGAUCAAAAAAUGAAGUCUUUGCGUUUGUCAAAAAUAGAAUAUGGGGUAAACUCAAAGGCUGGAAGGAGAAAAUCUUAUCACGAGUUGAAAAAGAAGUGCUAAUCAAAUCGGUGGUUCAAGCUAUUCCAACGUACAUGAUGUCUUGUUUCUGACUCAUCACAUCGCUCAUAAGGAGUUUCUGGCGGGGCCAAACGGGUGAGGAGAAGAAAAUAUGCUGGUUAAAAUGGGAAAUUUCAUGCAAACCAAAGGCAGAGGGUGGCAUGGGUUUCAGGGAUAUGGAAUCUUUCAAUCUAGCACUCUUAGCAAAGCAGGGAUGGAGAUUAAUCAAAAAUCCAGAUUCUUUGGCAGCAAGAGUUCUAAAGGCAAAGUACUUUGCUAAAAUCGUGUUUCUCUCAGCUGAGAUUGGGUCAAAUUCUUCCUACUUAUGGAAAAGCAUCUUGGAGGGAAGGAAGCCGCUUAAUAAUUUGAUGGAAUAUUUGAUGUUAAAUUAGCAUAUCAUUUGGCAAGAAACUCUAAAAAUCUGGGAAAAGGUGAAGAGGGAUUAUCAUCGAGUGGCAAGGAAAAGAACUUUGGGAAUGGAUUAUGGCAUCUAAACAUUCCUCCAAAAGUCAGUGUGUUCAUGUGGAGGGCAUGCUCAGGUAUUUUACCCACUGGGCAUAAUUUAAAUGCUAGAAUAAGAUGUGAAAAUAAAAAUUGCAGAUGCUGUGGGUGUGAAAUGGAAACUGAUAAACACAUAUAUUUUUUUGAGUGUGAGUUUGCCCAAGAAGUGUGGAAAGGACUUCACAAACGGAAGUAGUUGGAGAACUCUUUUGCCCCUAAUUUCAAGGAAUGGUUUGGUUGGCUUAUGAAUUCACAAGGAAAACAAGAAGCAGAGUUAGCAGCAGUAAUUACUUGGCUAAUUUGGAGAUGCAGAAAUGAGAGGAUUUUUGAAGGAAAAGUAAGGGAUGCAUGCGCUCAGAGUUGGUGAAUAUGCAGUAGAUUUCUUGCAGGAGUACUGAAAUAUACACUGCAAAGCUGAGUUACCAAAGACUGAUAAUCUGACCAAGUGGGUAGCUCCAGAAGAAGGUAUUUUAAAAAUAAAUGUUGAUGGAGCCUUCUCUGAUGCUGGGGCUGGAAUUGGAGUUGUGGUGGUGAGAGACCAUCAGGGACAAGUGGAAGCUUUAAUGGCUGCAAAGAGUUUCUGAGGCCCUUAAUGCAGAGCUGCGCAUGUGGAAUGCUUGGCUUUUCUUAAAGCUUUACAGUUUGCCAAAGAUUUUGGUAUUUCUCACCUCAUUCUAGAAGGGGAUGCCUUGGGCAUUGUCCAGAGAAUCAAUAGUACGAGUCUUGACUUAUCGGUGUUAGGUAACUUGAUUAGAGGCAUUAGAGAUAUGCUGAAGGAUUUUUGUUACAAACGGGUUUCCUGCUCAUUUAUUAUUGUGUCAUUUGUCUCUGUCACUUGAGGGAAGUCACGUUUGGUUUGUAAAUUUUCCAAAGGAGAUUAUGUACGCUGCAAAUGCAGAUUUACUUUAAUGAAGUUCAGUUUCAUUAUAAAAAAAAAUAAUAAUAAAAUAAAAUUCCGACACAAGUAUUUUGACCGGACUGAUCAAUACAACCCUUCUCUUAGUGGAUUUCAGCUCAUCAUUGGUUAAAUUUGACAACUGGGCCUAGUAUCCUUGACACUUUCUUAGGCUCGAGCCCGCAUCUAAAUAAAACCCUUGCACGACCCCCGUGUGAGGCUGAUUUUUGCCCAGAAUGUUUGUUUGUCAAUCUUUUUUGCCCAGAAUGUUUGUUUGUCAAUCUAUUCCUACUUUUGGAUAGAGAUGUCAAUUGGAUUUUUUGAGCUUAGUUUUACCAAGUUCAAACUCGGCUCAUAAAUUAGAUGAAUUUUUGGAUUUUGAACUUUUGAAUUCUGAUUGAUAUUAAAAGACUCAAACUAAGGUCACACUAUUAUAUGAGUUUCAGGCUUAUAUUGGGUUUGGUCCAAACUCAUAAUUAAAUACAUAAUUAUAUAUAAUAUAUAUUUUAUAAUUAUGAAUUAAUACAAAUUUAUGUGUAAAUUAUUAACAUUUUAUGCCACAAUAUGUAUAAUUAAAAAUUAUAGCUAUUAUUAUACUCCCUUCAUCCCAUUUUAUAUAUCAUGGUCAACUUUGCACACAGUUUAAGAAAAAUAAAUUUUGACUAAAACACAUAAACUACUAAAAAAUGUCUUUUCAUUAUUGCCCUUCAAUUAAACCUUAAAAAUUUGUAAGUCGAGUUUGGAAUUUUUAAAAAGGCACAACUACCUAAAAACAAAAAAGAUAGUUCGUAACAUGAUUUAAUAAGAGAAUAUGACAUAAAUGCUUUAUCUUGGGAGUUGUAUUAAGGGUAUAAUAGAAAAAUUGGAUUUCAUUUAUUUUUCUUUUAAAUCAUGACAAGUAUUUUGGGACAAAUCAAAAUAAAAAUCAUGACAUAUAAAAUGAGAUGAAUGGAUUGUAUAUUUUACACAUGUAAUUAUACUCAUAUAUGGGCCGGGCUUAAUCAGGUCUGAGUUUAGUAUGACCCAAACUCAACUCAUAUUUAGUUUAGACCUAAUAUUGAAGCACAAGUUCUGCUCGGUUCAAUUAAAUCUUAGGGUCAAUGAACUUUUUUUGGGUUGAACAGAUCGAUUUUGGAUUGGUCCGAUCCUAUUGACAGUGGUAUUUCUUUUGGAUUUGAGGUUUAGUCAGGAGGAAAAUGAAAUACGAAAGUUGCAAAAUGUCCUUGCUUGUUUACUUAAAGUGACGACAAGUUAAAAACUACUUAAGAUUUACAAAAGAAAUUGUUAAUCAUUUUAACAACAAUUUUUUUUUUUUUUUUGUAAAAAAAUGGUGAAAAUACAUCAAGAUAAGCAAGUGGGAAAAAAAGAAGAAAAAGAGACAAAGAUAAGCAAGUGAAAUUUAUCUUUGAAUCGUAAGGUAAAAACAAGGAAAUAAACAAGCAUCACUCGCCUUUUAUUUUCCAGUUCUUUUUUAUUUUUGUUUUUACCUUUAAUUAAACUUGUAGGGCCCUGCGUCUUUAAUUUAUGGUACUUUAGAUAGGGGGACAUGAGUUGCAGCACAUUCAACCUUCAAUUAGAUUUUUCAAAUUUUGAACUGCAGUUAAAUCUUCUCUUACCAAAUUCAAGAUCCAAAACGGGCCUAUACUCCCAUACGAAAACAGGCGCAGUUGGUUGGUAUAUUACUUCCAGCAUUAAAAAAUGCAGGCACGUAUUAAUCCAAGAAACUGCAGGCAAUUCUCGUUCUGACUGAUCUUUUUCGGCAACGGUAAUCCAAGAAACUUCUAAUUCAAGCCCGCAGCUUUGUACUGAAAUAUGUUUCUUCCACGCCAUUUUACAGCUUCUUUGGUAAUUGAAAACCAGGAAUUCAGCAACAAUAAUACACUUCGUAAUGGAGAUAGUUACAAAAGAAAAGAAAAGAAAGCAACCCAUUAUCGUGGACUUGACACCUCAAGUCCUCGCCUUCACGUAGCCCUUAUCUUUCUUGCAAGUAACACAAAAAAUUGGCCUUUGCUGUCUAAUCUUGUGGGUCAAACAAAACCUGCAGCAUUUCAGCCUACUUCCUGAUUCCCUUUUUCCUGCUUUUACUCUCUUUUAACACCGACACGAACUUCUAGGCAAUUGAUCACGUUCCAAAUUACAUGGGUUUUGUACUUGAAAGGGACGGAAAAGGCCGUGAGUCAGAUACUCAAGAUCGUGUUCAUAUUAAUCUGAAGAAAAUUUAACAAAGAAAGAUUCCACAAGCAAAUGAUUAAGCAUCACUCUAUUUGUCUUCAAUAAUGUGCUGUCAACACAGAUUUUGUUAUGUCUUAGGACACGGUGGAGUGCUAGCUCCACCAACUGAGGCAAUGAUUAACCACUUCCUUUUUGUUUCCAAACCCCCUCUUUAGCUACUCGAUCAUUCCUCCUCCUAAAAGUCCCUAAAAAGCUGUUUAGCAAGACUAUAAAACUCCCUAAAAAUCUUGAAUCUUGCUUUUGAUCAUCAAGAUUCAACGUCUAAAAUCUUGACGUGUUUUGAAUCAUAGAUAUGGACGGGAAAUAAAACAAUUGCCAAAACAAUUUCGGCAGCCUAAAUGGCCUAUAUAAAUGACUGAAAACCACAUAGCAGUCAAACACAUUAAUAGUAUUAUUAUUUUUUGCUUAAGAUUAGUAGUAUUCAGGUUAAGUUUAAUGUAUUGGGAUAUGGCGUUGGCCAAAUGAGAUUUACCAUACCGUACAGUUCUUGAAUGGAAGGAAAUAGAGGCAGAUGAUAAUGGAGAUGUAAUGUGCCAAUUAAUUCAUCUUAGUUGCUUGGUCGAGUCAAGUCUACUAGUUCUAUUUUUAUUCAACCAGUCUUGGUAAACUCGUACAUGAGCUUUGAAAAUAGAAAUAGAAAGAGGAAUAGUAGUUAUUCUAGCAAAAAAGUGCUUCAAUUUCUGCGAAUUUUACCGUGUGAAAUGUGAAUAUGCUGCUUCGUUUACUUAUACAGGAGUACUUGUUUUCGUGUGAUACUGCUAUACUAGCUUGUUUGCUUGGUUCUUUUCCUACUUUGUAUUCGGCAGCUCUUCCAAUAACUUGUCAUCCAUUUUCUAUGCAUGAGAAUCACGAAAUGACAAAUAUAAAACUCUGUUAUAGUGUUCUUACAGUCAAUGAAGGGGACUCAGACAAUGAAUUCUUUUACAUUAAGUUGUCAAUUUCCUACAGCAACCGGCAUCCCAACUGACAUUGAUGCGGGUUACCUAGUCAAUUCCUCUUAUUAAGAAAUACCCAGAAGUUUGACUAGUUCCUUUUAAUUUCUUUUUCAGGCAUCAAGUAUCCAAGGUUCAACAUGGAGAGGGUUGAGUUGGAUUGGGUGGUUAAAAAAUAUACCAUUUCCGUGAAGGUAAUUAGAAGGGAGUGUUGAAUCUCCUCAAUGAGAAACAAAGGUGUGAAAUUAUUGGAUUAAACUAUCUUAAAAACAUGAGGAGAUAUUAAUUGCUAUUUAUAUGGAUUGAACUCUAAUAGCUCGCCCAUAUAAUUGGUUUAUAUUAUUGUUUUCUAGCUUUGACGUAAACUUUCUCUGAAUUAAUGAUGAAGUGUGAACCAUAACUUGAAGCGUGAGUGGCUAAAUAGAGUGUGAAGAUAGAAAGAUAACCUUCUUUCUUGUCGUCUUCUUCUUUGAAUAUAUGCGAAUGGUUUUCGACUAUUACAGUCCAUUAGCACUUGCAAGCGCCUCCUACACUCCAGAGUAGAAAACAGAUUUAGAGAUGCAAAUGAGUGGAACUUAAUCGAAUAACUCGCGGAUUUGCUCGAUCAAAGCUCGAGGUCGAACUUAAGUUGAUCGAGUUCGAACAGUUCGAAUUAUUUGAUGAAUCAAGUUCAGACUUAAUACAUGAAGGUUGAAAGCUAGUCGAACUUAAUCAAACACAACUGAGCUUCACACAAGUAUAUUUUAUAUUUAUUAGUAUAAAAUAUCUAUUUUGUCCCUUUAUUUAAAAUAAUACAAAAUAUAAAUUUAUAUUUGUUAAAUUCGAUUAAACUCAAUUAAGUUCGACUGAAUUCAAAUAAAACUUGAUUCGAUAAGCUCGAGUUCGAGUUCGAAUAAUACAAAAUAAAAUCGGAUUCAAACUCGAACUAUGAUUCAAUUUUUUUUAACUCGAGUCGAAUUUAAGUAGUGUGCUGCUCGAGCGACUCAAGUUUGCACUCAUAGUUUCACCAUAUAUUUUUAAUAUAUAAGAAGUUAAAUCUAUACUUAUACGUGUAAUUUAUUGUAAUUAAGAGCAAUGAAAUGUGAAUUUGGAUUUAAUAUCACGGCUAAUGUUUCUCGAGCUCUCGUUGUCAAUCUUUUUUAUUUUUUUUUCGACAACGAUAAUAUUUGUGUAAUUUAAUCUAUCAUAUUUUAGAGAAAGGGGAGCCUAAAGAGACUGUGUAAGAGACUAACAGACAUGCUGCAGAUCUGACUAGACCCAAGUAACACAGCUAAAGAGCUCUCGUUGUCAAUCAUUGUAGUGGAACGCGAAAACUUUGGGAUUGAGCCAACUUGAUCGUACUGCAGAUUUUUGAAGGAGUCGUAAAGAGACCUGGUCAAUUCUUAUAUGUCGACAAUUAGUGAUCCAAAUGCAGCAAUUUGAGAGUUGAAACUUAAGGUUGUGUUUGGAUUGCAUUUUCCGUCAUUUUUCAUGGAAAAAUUACUGUAGCGAUUUGAUAUAUGUGAGGGAAAAAGGUGAUAGGGAAAUGUGAUCACGGAAAACGAUAAUAUUUUCCGACGAAAACCUUCAAUCCAAGCAAGGCCUAAGGUAAUACACUUUCUCAUUAUUGAACGAUAUCUGAUGAUCAAACACGGUAGUCCAGAGGGGGAUUACCUGUUAGCAGGGACGGGAUAAUUUGUCAUCAGUUAUUGUUUUAUGGGAAAAAAAAAUCAUUUGACAAAAACUCAUCACAUUAAAGAUGAACCCCAAAAAGAAAAAAAAAAAAAAAAAAGCACACAACAAUUAUCUCGAAAAAGAGAAGCCAACAAGUGUACAAAAGUAGAAUAAUGGAAGAUGGGACACAUUCAGCAAAUUAUUACAUCAACCCAAUACUUUUUACAUGGACACAUUCAGCAAAUUAUUCUGUUGUCCUGCUAAACAUUUUUCCCAUUGCAUAUUUCAUUCCAUUCAUUAGAAAGUAAUAAAAAAUCGAAGCAAAAGAAUCCAGACUGAACACUUUGAAGGGCUCACUCAUCUUUCUUGGUCAUGAAGUCAAUGGUCAUGUUGAAAACCCUUCAAAAAUUAAGCAAAAGGUCAAAUUUAUUACCAAAAAUAAUUGACUUGGUCCUAAGGUAUAAAAUGGAGAUACCUCAAGAAUAUUACCCCAUUUAUCCGCAUGUUAUUUAGAAGUUUUUCGAACACGAAAAAGCUAUACUAAAAUGGGUAAGCAUCCUAAAUUUCAACUCCAUCCUUUUUUUUUUUGAAAAAAAAAUUUCCCCCAUACCUUUUUCCGGCUUCAAGAAAGAAAACAACUACAUCUGAUUGUAUUUUAUGUUAUUGAUAAGAUUAUCGAACAGGACACAAGAGGGUCUUGAUUAAAUUAAUUGUAAAAUAUCGAACUAACCCUCUUCUUAGCAGCUGCUGGGGACGGUUGGUUCGUUUCACUCCAUUUUCCUAAUUCACACACGAGAAUUAAGAAUGUAAUGCAGUAUACAUACAAAGCAAAUUUUUUUUUUUAAAAAAAGAAAUACAAUAUUAAAGUUGUUAACAAAAUUCAAACAUAAACAAAAUUCUGAGUUCAAAUUUGAUGUGCAUAAUUUUGCAAUUGAAACAUCGGUUGCAAAUUUUUAAGCUAAGUUGAAAAUAUUUUUCUUUUCUGUAAGAAAAAUGUUGUCAAUACAUGUGGAAUAUAAAAGUCAAAGAAGAAAUGAAUAAAGAUUAAGAAAUUUGGUCGAAUUCAAUAGUAAUUAUAAAAAACUUUUAAGUACUACUAAUAUCUUGCAAAGAAAAGAAAAGAUGAAACUUGACUGUAAAAAAAAAAUGAAUCUUAUAUGCACCGUUAAUGUAUACACGGUUUAAAAUGAUCUCCUCACAAGUAUUAGUUAAUGAAUGCAUUACCAAAUUUAAAACAUGGUAUUAAUCCACUCAACCCUUUGAUAAAUACUCCCUCCGUCCCACUUUUAUAGUCCUGUUUUCCUUUUUCGUCUGUCCCAAAUUAUAGUCCACUUUCUAAUUGAAGAAUGUAGUUGUAUUUUAAUUUUCCUAAAAUAUCCUUAUUCAAUGUAAGUUGUUGUUACUAUAAACCUACCCCAUUUAAUGAGAGUUGAUUCUUUUUUUACUAUCAAUUCAAGUUCCCAUAAAGUUGUACUCUAAUUAAUGUGAGGGUAUUUUAGGAAAAUAACUAAUUAAAUUGAUUGUUCCAACAAAGUUAACUAUUUUUUAUUAAACUGUGUGAAAAAAGAAUCAGGACUAAGUGGAACGGAGGGAGUAAUUGAUAUCCCCACCCACAUUUAAGAACCCAUGCUUUUCCUUUAAAAAAAAAAAGAAAAAAAAAAGAACCCAUGCUGCAAAUAAAAACAUGUCUCUUGACUUGACAUGAGUCCGAUAUUUAGAUGAGAUUUCAGGUCAUAUCAAUAAGUAUACAACUACUCCUAUAUUUUCCUUUUAUUUUUUGGGUGGUAAUCCAAGUAACAUAAAAAAACAUAAAAGUUUGAGCUGGUAAUCAAAAGCCAAAAGUAAUUAAAUCAUACUAUUUUUCCUAUAUCUAGCUAUUUUUUUAUUUUGAUAAAGGUAAUUUUCUGUAUGUUUGUUUUAAAUUUAUAGCAAGAUGGAAAUAAGAGCUCCAAAAUUUUUUUUUUUUCUUAGUCCAAAUUUCCAAAUUGAUACAGAUAGACAAUGGGAAGCAAAUCCAAUGAGCGUUUUUGCCAACGCCAACUCUUCAUCCCUGGCCCUUAGCCCGACUUCGCAGCUCCCUCCAAUUUCUCUCUCAUGACCGUCUUCCUUCCAAAAGUCUCUUUUGACCAUCGACACCACCAUCACCACGUCUCCCUCUCCUUCUUCCCUUCUUCCUCCAAACUUUCCUCCUGUAACCUGAUUAUUUUAUUAUCACCAUUUCACAUUUCUUCCCUUUCAUAUAUAUAUAUAUAUAUAUAUAUACACACACACACACACACCUUUUUUGCCUACAUUUCCACCUAUAUAUGUUGAUCAAUACUCAUCUUUCUUUGAAUUUCUUUUUCUUGGUCUUAUUCUCUGUCCUUUGAAUCCUUAAAACCCAUUGAAAGGAUUGGAUAACGAAAAGGUGGGAUUGAAGAAAAAGGCAGGAUUUUUAUUUAUUUAUUUGCUGAAAAUGGGUAGCUGCUUUUCAACCACCAAGGUGAGUGGUUCUAACAGCAACACCCCGACCACCACCACCACCACCACCGUGAGCCACCAGCAGCAGAAUAGGAAGGUGUCCACCAAGGCAACCACCUCAGGUAAUAACUCAGUGGCCUCAAAAGAACAGGAGUUGCAUUAUAAAGGAAAAGGAAGCCAUCCUAAUCAGCAGAAACAGAAGAAUACAGAGCAGGGCAAAAAGCCCAGUUCUAGAAGGCAAGGAGGGGUUAUCCCUUGUGGAAAAAGAACAGAUUUUGGGUAUGAUAAGGAUUUCGAUAGGAGGUAUACGCUUGGGAAAUUAUUGGGUCAUGGUCAAUUUGGGUAUACAUAUGUUGGCACAGAUAAGUCUAAUGGCGAUCGUGUGGCGGUUAAGAGAAUUGAGAAGAACAAGGUAACCUUUUAUUUUCUUUACUUUUUUUUUUGGGGGGAUUGGGGGAGGGGGGGGGGUUGUUGUUGGCUUCGGCUUGGUGAUAGAUAUUUAUGGUCUUAUUUUCCUUUGCCUUAUCAUUUUUCCUUGAAAUGAUAUAAUUAGAGACUUCAUUUUCGCUGUUUGAUUAGUACAGUCAGCUGCUUGAUUUGAUUGAUUUGAGUUCAUAUUCUCUCCAAUAAAUGGUUUAUUUUAGAGACUGUGUUAGCAUCUUCUGAUCUUUCAGAGAAAGUUGGAUCCUUUUGGUUAUCGGAAUCAAGGAUACCUUGAAACAUCCUUAUAAGUUCAUGAUGAAAUAUUCACCAGUGGAAGUUGGGAUACCAUACGUUCUAGAAGGGUAUACUGCUACGUCCUUUGGGAUUCUGCUCCUUUCUUGAUGAUUUGAGGAGUAUCUACUGUUUUGGUUGGCUCAAUGGUCAAACUUUAUUCUUCUGCUCAUUGCCAUUUAGUUGGUGAUGUUGAUGAUUAUGUUGUAAUUGGAGUAUUUACUUAGAAUGAAGUCAGUUAUAGUGAAGGUUUUUACGAUUUUCAUUAGUAUUUCCCUAAAUGAAAAAUCAGCAGUUGGUUAAAUAGUCGUGGAUUAGUUGAUUAACCCAGGGGAAAAAGGCUCUGAGAUACUGCAUGGUUUUGUGUGCUGAGGUGCUUCCUACUGGUGUUGGAACAACAUAAGCUGGACUGGGUUGAAAUUUGAUAAAAAUAAGUGUGAAUGUGCUUGCCAUGGAUGAUGACCUUCUUGGCUUGCUGUUUAUUGGCUACACAAUGUUUCAUAGCAGAAGGAAGCGCUAUUUAUUCAUGAUGUUAGCAGAUAUUUGAGAUUUUUUUCCUUUUUGGCAGAAAUUUGCGUAGAUUCCAUUUAGUGGAUAAUAUCUCCCGCAAAAAUAAAGUUCUUGUAUGGGAAAGGAACGAAUAGAAAGAGCAGUUAUCUUAAUGUAUUUUUUCUGAUUCCAUGGCAGAGUGAAGCAGGAGAAGACUAGGAAAAUCGUGUCAGCAAUGAAGACGUAUUCUUAUCAUGCUGUAGAAUCUCUGAAAAUGGCAGUUAGUUAGUUAAUUGUAUGAGGACCUCAAAGCUAGAAUAAUUUCAGCUGUAGUAAAAGAAUAUUCUAUUCAAAUGAGAACCUUAAUUCCUGGUAGUUUUCUGCUGCAUGAUGUUUCAUGAGUCAAGCAGGUUUACACAACAAUGUCUAUUUGUGGAUGUGAAUAUGGUGAUCCAGAACUUAAGGAACCCCUCUUUGCUUUGUAUGGGUUUAAAACGAAUAAUCAAAAAGGGAUAUGCUUCUUUUCUAUGCACAUUGGUCAUGUGACGUGCUUGAUAUCUUCCUGAAUGUGCAUCCACCAACACAUAUGUUUUAGAGUCAACAGUGCUUUUAUUUUUGAAAUUUAAUGAGCUUUGGGCACCAUUUUGUACUCUGAAAUCAACUGAUGCAUUUUUCUUAGAUGGUUCUUCCAAUUGCUGUUGAAGAUGUCAAACGAGAAGUAAGGAUAUUAAAAGCUUUAGCUGGCCAUGAGAAUGUUGUGCAAUUCUAUAAUGCAUUUGAGGAUGAUUCUUACGUAUAUAUAGUGAUGGAGUAAGUUUUAUUUUGGAGCAGUAUUUUACACGGAAGUUUUUCUUUCUUUUUUCUCCCUGGUAGUAAUGUUAGUUAACCGAGUUCUUGAUUUUUAUUGAUUUUAGGUUGUGUGAAGGUGGAGAAUUACUGGAUCGUAUUUUGUCCAAGUAAGCAUCGUGAACUAUUUAAACAUGAUUGUAGUUGAACCGGCUAUGCUAUAUAAAAUGCAUUCUUGAUUAAGAAAGAUGAGUGUAGGACUUAACCAAGAAUUUCUUCUGAUCAGAAAAGACAGCCGAUAUACUGAGAAAGAUGCUGCAAUAGUAGUACGUCAGAUGCUAAAAGUUGCUGCUGAGUGUCAUUUACAUGGUUUGGUACACCGUGAUAUGAAGCCAGAGGUAUUUGAAAGUUGCUAAUUACCUGUCUGGUCCUAUGCCAUGUGAUGUUGCUGCAGCUUCUUAUUCAUUAUUGUCUCUUUUAGAACUUUCUUUUCAAGUCACCAAAGGUGGAUUCAUCCUUGAAAGCAACAGAUUUUGGUCUUUCUGACUUCAUCAGACCAGGUGAUUAGAUGUUCUUUUAUUUUUUAUUCAAAGUUCAAGAUCUUAUGUUUCUUGUUUCCCCUCGGAAUAAAAAAUCCAAUUACAAUACUGUCUGAUGUACUUUCCUUUAGUUCUUUUUCUAAUCAGAGCUUUGAUGGUCGAAGCUGGGUGGGACACUGAUACGUAUUUUUCCAAAUUUUUUGGCUUCUUUCAUGCAUAUAUUGCUUAGAUACUCUUUUUACUUUUGGCUCAGUUCGAGUUUCUGGGUGUGGGGGUUGAAUUAAAUUUACAAUGUCCUAUAAGUACAGAAAAGUUCUAGUAUAUAAUGCAAAAACUGUCUUUGUCUUAAUUUUCUAUAUGCUUGGUAGCAUCUGGAAGAUUUAUAUGUACAUUCGUUGUUUCGUUGUUUCCUUUUGUUUAAAAAAUUUAGAUUUGGUUAUUUGUUUAGUAUAUCACCUAAUCGACUAAUGAUCAAAUCCAGGGAAGAAAUUUCAAGACAUUGUUGGUAGCGCGUAUUAUGUUGCUCCAGAAGUACUGAAGCGCAGAUCGGGUCCUGAAUCAGAUGUAUGGAGCAUUGGCGUUAUAACAUACAUUCUACUCUGUGGGAGGCGCCCCUUCUGGGACAAAACUGAGGAUGGCAUAUUUAAGGAGGUAAGGAUGCUGCAAUAUUUGCUAUCUCUUUCUGUGGAAUUGAAACUCAUAUCAAUGAUAUCUCGACUUUAUCCACCUUUAAUACAGGUGUUAUAUAAAAAGUCUCAAGAAUCUGGUUAAGUGGAAUGAAAGCUCCCUCUUAUUUCAUUUUACUUUUUCUACAAGCCUAGUCUUUCCCGAGCCACAUCCAUAGAUCAUAUUCCUCUGAAGCUUAUUUGCUUCUCUCUCUCUCUCUCUGUCUUUUUUAGUUGAUUUUUUAUUCCUUCUUGCUUUCUGCUUCCACAAGAGAAGAUUUUUACAUCGAAUUAUUAGUUUUUUAAGGAAUAUUAGUAUUGUUGGCUUUACAACAUUUUUCUCUAAUUUAUGCUUUGUUAUAUUUUUGACAAUUAUAUGUGCUAUAUUUGUUGUUACAUGGCAUGUAACUGUAGAGUCUAAUACUUUCAGGUUCUCAGGAAUAAACCUGAUUUUCGUCGUAAACCGUGGCCAAGCAUAAGCAACAGUGCUAGAGACUUUGUAAAGAAAUUACUGGUGAAGGAUCCUCGUGCCAGACUUACAGCUGCUCAAGCAUUAUGUAUGUACUUUUAUUCUGAUUUUAAAAGUUUGUGAGCUUCCUGUAAUGCAUUUUCAUAGAUAAGAAAACUUGAGAACAAAAGUUCCAUUAUUUAUCAUUGGCAGAAGACAUAAAGCUGAUCAAUGUAGAAUUGAUUGGAAUCAAUUUUAGUGCAUGCCUAUCCCGUUUCACCUCCCUAUCAACAAAUUUAUAGACCAAUAUCAAAAAAAAUGUUUUGGCCCUUUUUUUUGUGGGGCGGGGGAGGAAGUGGGGGUUGGGAUGAAGAAUGUGCUGCUUCAGUUUUUUAACUUUUCAGAUUCUUCUGUUGACCUUUCUUUGUGACAUUUUUGAAAAACAAACACUAUAGUCAACCUUUAUUCAUGUAAAAUACUGCAACUGCAACUUAUGAGAAUUAGUGGCACAAAAUGGGGUCUCAGUUCUGAUGCUGUAGGUAGAUGGUGUCACAACUUGUGUAUUGUUCUUAUUGCUUGCAUAAUCGCUAGUUAGUACAAUCUACAGCUCUAUUGAGCUUUAUAGUCAUAGCGUUGUAGUUUCAUUCACUUGGAUUUGGGUACCUAGAGAUUGAAAGUCAUACUUUAGUUUACGUAGGUCUUUUGGUAUCUUAUUAUGGAUAUGUUAUUGAUGAUUGAGCUUAGCUUGUGUUCUACUGUCGUUCUUGAAUGCAUUCUUGCAUAUGCACUUUUACACAUAUAAGUCGCGUAUUCAGGUUAUCUCCAGAAGAGAAUAAUGAAAAAACAAAAUCAAGAUUUUCAAUGUUACCUUGUAAACCAUCUUUUAGAUGACAGGAUAACAAGUAGAUUCUUGUCGAAUAAGCUUAAGGUAGUGCCCUGACAUAUGAUAGUAUGGGGCACAAUGCAACUGUACGAGUUCUCGGUUUAAUCCUAUCUCAUCCCAAACUCUAGAUAAUGGAUAGCAGUCAUUGAGUUUAACUUUUUGUUUAUUUUGCGUGGUGCUGAAGAAAUAUGACGAGCACUAAUAAUCAUUUGAACAUUUUUGCACCAAAUAUCACAGCAUAAGAUUCUAUUUGAGACAAACAAGUGUGCUUUUCUGAAUUUUUGGCUUGGGAAAGUCAAAACUGGAAACUUUAGUGGGCAUUGAGAUAAUCAACAUUUUGUCACCAAGUACAUUUGUUGUGCGUCUUUUGCACUGUAAGAUAAUCUACUGACCUUAACCAAUUUUUCCAGCUCAUCCCUGGGUUCGAGAAGGAGGUGAUGCAUCGGAGAUACCAGUUGAUAUUUCUGUUCUCUCCAACAUGCGGCAAUUUGUAAAGUACAGUCGUCUAAAACAGUUUGCACUAAGGGUAAGUCUCUUCUUGUCUCUUUAUGAUUGUGUCAGAACCUAUAAUGACCAACUCGAAAUGCACGUCUUAUUAUGAGGGUCUUUUAUUGCUUUCCAGGCUUUGGCUAGCACACUUGAUGAGGAGGAAUUGGCUGAUCUCCGCGAUCAGUUUCAUGCAAUUGACGUGGACAAAAAUGGAUCUAUAAGUCUUGAAGAAAUGAGACAGGUAUGUGCUUUGCAAGAGGAGGCAGAGAGGUUGUCCUUAUAUUUCCUUACUAUUAUCAGUCUGAUUAGCUUUAUCAUAAAAGUUGCUUUAAAAGGUUCUUCCUUAGAAAUUUUUAUGCACUAGAUUAUCUUAUAUUUCUUUCCUCAUUCAUAACUUCUUCAAUUUCAACACAGGCCCUUGCCAAAGAUCUUCCUUGGAAAAUGAAGGAUUCACGUGUUCUUGAGAUUCUUCAAGCAGUAAGCCUGUUGACUUUGAUUUAUGGUAGCGAAUAGCGGAAUUUAUUGACGCAGAAAAUUUCCAUAAUUUUAACUUUUCUGUUGCUAGUAAAUCUACUAGUGCAAGAUCCUUCCCGCAUACGUAUCAAACAGCUAAACAGAUAAAGGAUCGGGAACCAAAUGGUUGAUAGUUGUGGGAUGGUCUCAUUUUAAUCUAGAUAAUUAAGCAUACAUGCAUGAAUAAGUAUAAAACUAGCUUCAAAAGGAAUGCUUUUUGUUUGCUCAUUGUUGUUUUAAGAAAUUUAGCCCAUUAGUCCAUGUUUCAGAAUUUGGUGUUCUUCUACUACCACACAUGCUUACUUUUGUUGUGAUUGUUAUUGCUCUUCUGUGAUGUUGAUUGAUAAUCCAGCUUGUUCUCAUCAUCUGGAGCAGGUAGAUAGCAACGCUGAUGGGCUUGUGGACUUCUCAGAAUUUGUUGCGGCCACUUUACAUGUCCAUCAGCUGGAGGAGCAUAAUUCAGAGAAGUGGCAACAGAGAUCACAGGCUGCUUUUGACAAGUUUGAUGUUGACAAGGAUGGAUACAUAACACCAGAUGAACUCAAAAUGGUCAGCGUUUUAUGGUGUAACCUAUUAAGUGACUAAUGCUGUUAUUCUCUCAAUUGAGCAUAAAUCCAGAAUGGAAGAUUGAAUCUUAUGUUGCUUUGUCUGCUGCUUUCUAUUACGUCUAUUUGCAUUUGCUGCCAUAUUGCCUUGGACAAAAGUAGCAUGUGUUUAUCCAUGGUUUUAAUUGCUUCCUGGAAGCAAAGUUUGAGAGCAAAACAUUUCUUUUAUACUUUGUUCAAGCUGCUGCGACCUUUGGUGUCAAAAACAAAGAAUGUCUAACAUGCUUGUAUGCAAGUAAGUGGAUGUCUAUUUGAUUUGUUGUUCGUUCGCUAACAUGAUAUUUGUUGGCUUGCAGCACACGGGUUUACGAGGCUCUAUAGACCCACUCUUAGAGGAAGCGGAUAUCGACAAAGACGGAAAGAUAAGCUUAGCAGAAUUUCGUAGACUGUUGAGAACUGCUAGUAUGAGCUCACGAGUUGUCAGUAGCCCAACUGUAAAUAAAGUUCCGCGGAAGUUAAUAGCUUAAUACAGUUUUGCAUCUUUUGGUCUAAUUGAGGAUGUCAAAACAGUUGGAUUUCAUCUCACUUGUUAAAAAUUGUUCGGCAAAUCAAUAUUUUACGUGUUCGCUCUCGCUCUCAUGCUUUUGGAAGGUAGUUGUUAGAGGGACGUAUACAAAGUAUCAUUUGAAGGGCACCCCAUGUAAAGCUGAUUUGGCCUUCCAAAAGAAAAAUCGGCUAGGUGUGAGGUGUAUCUUUCCUGUACAUUAUAUUUGUUAGCGUUAUGAAGCACCGCUGCUUCCCGCAUGAUGUAUCAUAUGGUGGUAAAUUACUCAAUAAGAUAUGAUAUGGUUGUCCAUGAACUGGGUACUACUGGCAUGAGGUUUGUGUAUUCGAGGAAAUUGUUGCCUUUUGAAUCUCUAGCUCUCUCUUGAUGUUCAAUUUAACCUUCGAAUUACAUCUGUUUUACUGGUUCAUAAUUUUCUUCUUAUCCCAGAACCCGUAUAAAAGUAAAUUUAAAGCAGAGGGGUUCUAAGAACUAGGAUUACUGGGAUAACAAAUCUAAACCCCUCUUGAAAUGGGAAACACUGAAGUCAUUGGACCAAAAAUGAUUGAUAGUCAAAUGAUUCCAAAAUUCACGUACACACACACACUUAUCUCUAAACUAAGUUGGAAAUAUGUAAUUGAUCUCACAAUUGAAUCAUCCAGGAAAUGACUUCUCCCAGGGUAGAAAAAGAAUUAAAGAAACAUUUCUGCUUGCGUGUGGUGUUCAGUGAUGAAAAAUCUUUAUUUCGUGGUGCUAUAAUCAUUACUUCAUCGGGCAUUUGAUAACAUAACUAAAAUAUAUAACUAAAGCAAUAAAUAAGCACAUUGCUGGAAAUCCAUUCAUGUAAGAUAACAUAAGUCUAAUAUUCAUGAACUAGAGUUUCUAACAAGCUUGUCUUUAGCUAAAGAUGUCCAGCAAAUUGCUAAGACUACAGCUUCAUUUCUAGCCUCAUAUAUUUGUAUCUGAAGACUCAGCUGUGUAGGACUCGGACUAGAAGAUCACUGGGGAAAGAACAGGCUACCACAACAUACAUAUAUGCAGGCUAUGGGGCUCAUGAUAUUUAACACAGUGAAAUAUUGAUGACAGUGCUUGGGGACCUUCAGAGGAAAGAACACUUCCUCAAAUAAUUGGCUAGUCCCUCAGUGGUCGCUUGCCCUUGUCUCGAGGCAAUGGCUGUAUCAUGAAAAAGCAGUUUAUGUUUCAGAUUAAAGAUGUUUCAGGUUUUGACAUUUAUGCACUACCAUAAAGUUGUAGAUAUUAUGUAACACAAACCUUCUGAGCUGUAGAUCCUGGAAUUGCAAGCUCCAAAUCAGUUACCAUAUCAGGAAUAUCACCACUUUUCUCACCAUUACCACUUCUGUCUUGACCAGAUGAUCCAUUUCUGGCAAUUUCCUUGCCAAAAAUGCAAGGUGUUGAAGCAUUCCUGGAAGAUGGCUUAUUGAUGUGCGGAGUUGCAGCAGCUGAACGCAGGAUCAUCAUCACACCAGGAUCAGAUGGGACAGCAGAUUGAUUUGCCAAAAAGGGCUUUGGAUGCAGAGAUGGAGUAUGCCUUGGAUAUGGACCAGAGGAGACAGAUUGAGCAACUGGAUAUGAAAAUGCACAAGCCAUGACAGCUGAAGGAUCAAUUGCAGAUCUUGGAAACAUGGAUCUAUGUCUUUGCUGGCGUUGCACUUCAAAAGCCCCAACAUCAAAUUGCAGAGAAGUCUUUUCUCUUAACUCUUUGUUCUCCUUUGCAAGCUUAUUCAAGAACAACACUUUAGUUGACAGCAAUUUAAGGAUGUUUAAAUCCAUGAACAACACUGUUAGAAGUCAUUACCUUUUUAAUAUCUUGAAGAAUUGCUGCUUGUUCAGACUGUAGUCUGCUGACUUCAGAAGCUAAAUCUUUCAGUGCUUGGAUUGGGCUGAUAACGAUCGUUGCCUCGUCAUUCUUGAGCCUAACUGAAUCUGUAUCUAUUUAUCAACAAGACACGCUACAUAUGUUAAGGUAUAAAAAUGCUUCAAAUUCUAAUCUACACAGAAAGCGUACCAACCAUGGGAUUAUUGUCCAAGGUCCACGGAUGUAAAAACCAUAUAUGAAGUCAAUCUUCAAUUACUCAACAAUGAUUUGGCCCAGUCCAAAUUGAAUUAUCCCAAUACAAAUUUUUAGAAUGUCCAUAAAACUAUGCUUAGAGGAAUUCAAAGGCAUGUUCAGACGUGCUAAAAUGAAGAAGAAAAGUUGUACGAUAAUUUGAUUAAUCAAUCAAUUUAAUAUGCACAUUUAUGCUAAAGUAAUGGUGCUACUGCCUGUUGACAUGGUAUCCUUCAUCUAAUCAUACUCCCAAGUAUUGAACUGCAAAGAAAAGGAGAACAUCUGCUUCACCAUGGAACAGGAUAUAGAAGCUCUUUAUUUUGAUGAAUGAACAUAAACACUUGCAUGAGUGCUACAGUUUCAGGAAACUUUGUCCACGACGUUAGCACUUUGCAGGUUGAAAGAAUAAACUUGAAACAUCUUAUGAGUUUAGGGAAGAAGACAUGCUCUAAGGAUGCAAAGUCUUCUUAAAAAUGAAGGAAGAGGUUUAGAAACACUUUACCUAGUAUAUUUCCCAACUCUUGAAAAUGCUCAUUAAGCUCAUUUCUUCUCAACUUUUUGCCAUGUGCUUGGUGCCUUGUUUUUGCAACCACUGCACCGUUCGAAUCUAAAUCAUCCUCUUGCCUGCAAAAAUGUGAGUUGAAAUAUAAAGAGAAUGAUGAAUAAAUUGAUUCUUGAUACAAAACCUAGAAGUGACUGCAACAUGUCCAGAUUUAGAGCUGAAGAUUUCCACAUGGAAAAAGCGCAAUCCAAUGUGCUUUAGAAAAGACCAGUUAGAAGAUAAUAGGGAAUGAGAGGACUAAAGUAAUUUCUGCUAUCUUUGCCUUGUAAUGCUACUUUAAACAUAUCCCUUCUUCUCCUCUCCUCUAUAAGGUUUUAGUUACUAGAUGGUAAAGUGGUGUUGAAAUUUCUGAAUAAAGUAGAAGGUAAAUCUCCAGCAUAAUUUGUCAAAGUUCUUCCAUGAAAAGAGCUUCCAUCAAAGCUUUUUGUUUUUGACAUCUCUAGUCCUGAGUGAGCAUAAGGUGCCCACAUUUAACUUUGAAAUGUUAAAACAAAAUGAGUCCAAAUCAACCUCCUAAAACAUUAUUGUAGGUAAAAGUAGUUUGAUUGCCCAAGUAAAAAGGUUCAAUAAUGGAACUUAGUCUUCCAUCUUAGGAGGUAUACAUUGACUCCAUGUAAAGAAAGAAACCUUCACUUUCUGUUCAUAUGUCGUUGGAUGGAAACAACCUGAAUGUGAAGACAAAUUGGUAGCAGACAGAUUUUCUGAAUGUUUAAAUUACUAAUUAAAUAAUACAAGGGGGAUAAUAAACCAGCUAAGGCCUCCAAAGUGCCGUGUUUGUUUUCAAAGAAAAGUCAUUGUACUAAAAUACAGCACUGGAAAUUUGAAUAGGGAAGACUUAUCCUCAAUUUCUUAACAUGCAGAAGUUUGUGGAACCCGCAAUCCCCAGUCCCACCACCCACACAACCCCUAACCCAAAAGAAAAGUUUUUACGUGCAUAAAAUUGCAGAGAAAUCAGAAAAGGCUACAACAUAAUCUCAAGAAAGAACAAAGUUACUAUUUCGUCCCCAAUAGAUCGACAGACAUAAUCAAAGUCAUAACUUCUUCAUUCUACAUUUUACAGGAUCAAGCGAUCUGACUUAAAUGAAAUGCCCAAAAAGAAAAUGAUUUAAGCAAAUUGAUGCACACAUUCAACAUUAAAUUUCUUAGGACAUUGUGUUUAAUUCUUCAAAGGAUAGAAUUUUAUGCAACAUGUUUCCCCUUCCCCAAAAUUUCUCAUCCACCAUUACAUCUGGAAAUCACUUUGAUACAUGAAUUCCUAGUAUCUAGAGGAUAGAUAUUAUGCGUCCUAUUCCUUUUCCCUGAAAUUCUCACCCACCAUUACCUCAUGCAACCACCUUGAUAUGUGAAUUCCUAGUAAUGUUAACUUAGCACCUAAAUGCAAUUCUUCAGAGUUUGUGCAAGAUUUACUAAGGUCCUCACACAUACAAUUCCUCAUCAAUUCUUUACACUGUUAAGUUGUCAUGAAGCUUUUGUGAAAAAGGAUGUUCUGCAUACAUAUCGAAGGCAAUAGUGAAUGCACGCCUAUAUCACAUGCAUUUCUUCUCCCAAGUUCGAGUUGAAAGUUAAACAAGGAAAUAAUACUUAUAUAUAACUACCAGACAAAGCAUAUCUAUUGCAAUUGCUUUCAGCAUGACUUUUAUGUUGUUAUACGGCACAAACAUGUAUAACAAGAGAACCCUACUUGUUAUUGAAAAUUCAAGACCCAAAUAAUCUAGUUGUAGUAGUUAUGAUCAACAAUGGCAGAAUAAAUACUUAAACCAGAGGGAGAUAGUCUCAAAUCCAAAUAGUAAGGGUAUAUGAAAAAUUUCCAAAUAUUUCAGAUUAUUUACUUUCAUAUGAGAUAGAGGGAAAAGAAAACACAAAAAGAAAGCAGUACAAAACUAAAUAAUUACUUGCUACCAGAUUAAAGUGAUAAGGGAGAAAAAUCAGGGGGAUUGUUAAAAAUGCAAAACAUACUGAAAAUGUCCAAAAGAAUGUAUCAAAGGCAUCGUUUUCAUCAGUACGCACACCGUUAUUUCUUUCACAUCAUAUAUUGUUGCUAGCACAAAUAAAUUAGUCACUAUAUCACAAGCCUCCUGUUACUAAGAAUAACUAUACAUAUGAAAGAGCCAUCAAACCUUCUUUUAGAGCCAGAGCUAUAUGGUCCAACACCAAGCCUCAGUUCUGCCAAGGCUCUUUUCUCUUCAUUUCGAGAAGCAUGGUCAAAACUUCUGUACAGUCCAAUACCAAGCCUGAGUUCCGAAAUGGCUCUUUUCACUUCAUUUUGAGAAGACUGGUCAGAACUCUUAAGUAUUGGAUUGAGACUAAUAGGUUCAAACACUUCCUUAAAUAUUUUCUCUCGAUCCAUUUGAUGAUAUGAAAGCACGGUGUGAAGGCAAAGAAGAUUCAGAUGAAUAAGGAGGCAUUUGCUAGUAAAACACUUGGAAAUCAAUUUAUUUCAACAUCUUGAUAUGAAUAACAUGAUCGAGGUAUAUAGUGAUUUUGGAGUACCAAAAGGUUUACCACAAUCCACUGCAAGAGUAAAUGAAAGCCAGGUUCCAAUAGUUUCCUUUGUCGCUACACCAUCCUAGGCAACCUUCUCUUUGGAAAAGUCAACGCUAGUAAAUACUCAAUCUUUAAGUGCAAUUGUCGUUCGUGAUCAGUAACUUCCCGAAAACAUGAGUUGGGAAGAAAAUAUUAAUGAGGUGGUUACACAAGGAAUCACUUUAAGAUCUUUCCCUAGAUAGGUAUCACUUUAAGAGUUGAUAUUACAUAAAAAAUUAUCAAUGAAUCGCAACUGCAACUCACAUUAAUACAAAACACAAUGAGAAAACAAAGUCAGAAUUUCAUUUGCCAUCACGUAUAUUUGUUCGUAAGCUGCAAAAACUGUUACUACUUCAUGAGCUACUUGACAGACAGAUUGCAACCCAAUCACUGUCAGUCCAGUACCUAGCAUGAUUUGGUAUCUAUUAUGAGAAUACACAAUCACAGGUAAAAGAUCUUGUAUCACUUCCACUGAUCAAGAUCUUAUCUUAAGUCAACUUUUGCUCUAUGAUUUCCUAGAGGCAAUUCUGUGAGGUACUUCAAAACACUAAGUUUAGAAUCAAACUAAUUUCUUAAAUAAUUGCCAAAAUCCCAGUCAUCCAGCCUAGUAGUAUUCUGAUAAGAAAAAAAAGAAAAUCACAAGAUCCUAUUCUGAUAAGAAAAAAAAGAAAAUCACAAGAUCCCCUUCGAAUACCUCAACACGGUGAUUCAUCAAAAAUAACAAUCUCAACGAUAUAUAACUUACAUAAAAAAUGCAUCCGUAUAUGUGAUCUUCUUGAGUCAAUGGAAACUACAUUUUACAGGCGUAUUGUAUUCAUAGACACGAUAAAGGUAUAUCAAUAAAUCAGUGAAAAAGUUUUACCACUAAGUACACAUUUAUGCUCGAGUGUGCUCGAUUCUUUCUAAUGUAGCAUGCAGAGUGAUUGAAGAAUUAUUACUACUACUACUACUAAUGGGGAUAGGCAGUCAGGAGCUCAACCCCUAACCUCCUGCAUUGUGGAGCAGGCAUCCGACCACUUGGCUACCAGCUGAAUGGCAUGCGGAUGAUUGAACCUUAACAUCGCAUGAAAAAAUUUAUGGAAUCAUCCUUCAUCAGAAAUACUAUCAGUUUAAAGUACUAGGAAUGAAAAAAAUUUAUGGAUCAUCCUUCAUCAGAAAUACGCUAUCAGUUUAAAGUACAAUUAUUAACUACAAUUUUCUACUUCAUGACUGCCUAUGCACACUUAUUUUCCUUUUCUUACUAGCACAUAAUUGCAGAACUUAAAUACAGGAUAGCAUCGGUUGAAAGUGGAAUUUUUAUUAACAAAAUCUUAGGGACAUCAUCCAACUAGCUGACAUGGCCAACUCAAGAUUUUGGCAAGAUGUAAUAGGAUGUUUCCAUUACAGCGAGAGAUGAUCUCUAUACCAGGGAUGUGAUUUUGCUGCCUGAGCUGGAUUAUACAUUCUAACCAUGUCUUCUCUGGCGUGCUUAUUUGACCAAAAUCCUAACUUUUAACUCGAUCACUACGAUACAGUUUCUGAGAUUCCCACUCUUCACUCAUGAUGCAACUUGAUAACACUCAAUUAUACAACUUAGACAUAGCAGGAGAAGCAGCACCAUACACACUAUCCAGCAUUUGGCAUCUCAAUACCAAUUCAUUUACAAGAAGGUCACUACUUAAAUGUUGAUGAUGGUAAAAUGUGUGCUCCAUUGUGGAAAUCUCUUUUCUAGCAUAGAGCUCUUCUCAAGUUGACAAACUGUUCGACUAAGAAUGAACAACCCCUUUUUAUCCUGGGUCAGUCCGCAAUAUCUACACUACUCCUAAGCUAAGGAGAGGGCUCAACUGGGCCAAGGUGGGCUAAGUGAGCAACUUGCAUUCCAGUAAUUUAGGCAGUUGUCAAAAAUACAGAAACAAGGGGGAAAAAAAAGUGCAAUAAAUCUUUCUAUUAUCGCGAGAUUAUUGCAAGUAGUCCAGAAAGGGAACGCUUCCUCAGAAACUAUCCCAUAAUACCCAUCUAAUUCUGUAUCCAUGAAGAAAUGGUGUAAACAGAAGACGCCGAAGAAGUAUACAAGUAACUAAGCAAAAGUUGGAGCAUGCAGCUUGUACCACAAGCCAAUAACAAAACAAGAAUUCGAUAAGCAUAAAAACUAUAGUUAAUUCAAGCCCAGAUAUACUGACAACGAUUACUUGUACAAAAAGGAGGAUAACAACAAACCUGGAAUCGCUAAUGUCAGAUUGACAAUCAACCAUCCAAGUUAAAGCUGUAAUAUUUAGUUUUCAGAGUGGAAAUAGCAGAGAAUUAGUGAGGCAUUUUUUACAAGAUAAAGGAAACUUUCAAGAAGGUUUCUCAAGAGGAUUAAGAUUGUCAGGAGGGUUACUUUGUAUUCGUGGUUGAUCGUGAAUUUGACGUAGAUUUUUGGGAUUCUUGAAUCCAGUAGUAGAGUUCCCUGGAAUGGGAAGCUGGCAUUUUUUGGGGCAUCAGCAGCAUUCAACAAUGGACUCGUGCAAGUGGAAAGAGCAUGUCGUAUCUGCUGAUCUGGCUCUCCAUUGACGAAAUUUCGGGUCGACCAAUAGUACCAUCCCAGGAGUUCAUAGCCAAACACAGACCAAUUCCAUUUUUUUCCCACACGAUGAUAUUCUUAAUAUUAAUUAUUUUUUAGGCAAUAACUUCUAUUAAUUUAUCCUACCAAAGAAACUGAACUCUUGAUUUUUUUUUAUUUUUACUUGGAAAAAAUUAAAAUUUAGAUUUUGCUGGAAUUUUACUACUUGUUUCUCCCUUGAAUUAAAAAAAAAAACUUUUUCCUAACUUUUUUUUUAAAGUACAACACUAGUCCUAUACGAAGAGUAUAGGGAGGGAAUGGGGAUAAACCCAACAAAAUUAUUGAGAAUUCAGAAGAAAGUAAAGUACGUCCAUUUUCAAUAAUUCUAAAGAAGAAAUAUAGGCAAGGAAUUUUGAAUUCCAUACAUACUAAUACUCAUACAGAGUAAUUUUUAGAUGGGAUGAACACAGCUAAUUCCUUCAAGGGCACAUAAAAAAUGGUGUGUACACAAGUAGCCUCGGUCAGGGAUCCAGCCGCACUGCUCCUAAAAGCUUAAGCUGUUAGGGCCAGCUUCCCCCUAACUUAAGUACCGUAGCCACUCCUAGCCAACCUUCGAUGUGGGACUACCAAGAUUUGUAAAAUCGGGAUCCUACGUAGGAUCGAUUUUAAUUUCACAGAAUCGGAUUGUAGGAUCGUAAGAUCUCACCAAAAGUUUCUAAAUUUACUAAAUUAAUGAAUUUCAGAUUCAUAUACCAUUUUGUAUAUUUUAAAAGAUAUCAAAUAAAUAAGUUACUCAUAAAUAUAUAGUAUUUUUUACUUACUAUCUGAUAAGUAAUAAAUAUAUAGCAUUUUUCUUUUCACAGUUAUAGCCAUUGCAAAGUAAUACUAUGAGAAAAGCCAGACUAAAUGUUGAUUUGAGCUGAAAAUUUAGAAGAAAUUAGAUUUUUCAAACUUGUUAACAAAAAGUUCAAAAGCAUACGUCCACACGGCAGCCCAUCUUUCUGGUCCAAAUAGGAAAAUCUGGGCAAUUAAUGCACCUUUCUAGCUUAAGAACAAAAAUAAAGGCCAAGAAAUCAUAAGUUCGAGUGACACCCAAUAUUUUUCGGCUGAAGGAAUGUGCUUUAAGGAAUGAACUUCUUGGACACAAAGUCACCUUACAACCUUGUCUAAGAAGAAGAAAAAGUUAUCUGCCGAAAUAAAGUUUUCAAGAUAUCAGAAACUCAAUCUUGCAUGAAAUGCUUAGCUAUUGCAAUCAAUAGCAAGCAAACAAUAAUCUAUGUGAGUUGAAGCACUCUUGUAACAAUGAAGGUUGGUUGGUUGGAGCUGCAGCGGUGGAGAAGAAGUGAAAACUGAAAAAUGAAGGUUGAAAUGAAGAAUGAAGAAACGAGUCAACGACAGAUGACUGAGUAGAGGAGAAGAAUAGGAGCUUUUUUGACUUUUUGAGAAAAAAAUUGUUACAAAAUUACAAUUCUUUGAUAAAUUACAAACCUACCACAAAUUUUUUCAUUUACUUGCAAAAUGGAGUCUCGUAUUUCACAAAUUUGCAAAAAAUUAUAGGAUCGUACGAUCCUAUGUAGAUUAAUACAAUUUGCGACUCUGAAUAUGAUUCGGAUCGAUUUUGAUUAUCCGGCGAUCCGGAUCGCAAUUUUGACAACACUGGGGACUACUUUUUCCCCUUCUUGGUGCAUCUUGCAUUGGGUACUAUUUCACCCCCACCGAAGGUCUGGCUCUAAUACCACAAGUAGCCUCGACCAAGGAUCCAACUGCACUGCUCCUAAAAGCUUAAGCUGUUAGGGCCAGCCUCCCCCUGACUUAAGUACCAUGACCACUCAUAAUCAACCUACCUCUUAUUAAACCUUUGUUAAGAUUUUUGAACUUUACCCUAGAAAAUGAAUAAUUGACCCUCUAAAAACAAAACCUCCACCCUCUAAAAAAGAAAAAGAAAGAAUGGUUAAUUUGCCUACUUUACAAGAGAAUCAAUCUUAAAUCAAGUUAACUUGAAAAUAAAUUUUAAAGUUAAUCUCAUACAUUGACAAUACAUACACGUUAACGAGUAUGAAUGCAUAUCACUUAUUCAUUGGUUUUUGAUUAAUAAAAUUAGGAGCCAGCUUCCUCGUGCACGAGGUUUACGGCUAAAAAAAUAUAUACUUAUAAAAGUCACUUAUUCAUAAAUGGAAAUUGAAUUAUCGGCCGGUCAAUGUUUACCAUGUGAGUUUUAUCUCAAAUUUUUUAUCCUAGAUUCCGAGUAGAAAUUUCAAUAGCAAACGGCGUCGUUGGGAGUUGCCGUUUGACGGUUCCCCUUGCUAGCAUUUCCUAGGGACAGCGCUGUCGUUUUGGUUUUCUGCGCUAUUCUCUGUGUCACUUCCCUCCAUAUUUUCUGCAGCAGCUAUCGAACCAGCAGAAAUCCUCCGCCAUGGAAACUACAAAAUUCGAGGGCUGUUGAGCGCCAUAAAUUGUAGUAGAAAGGAAGUUCUGGUAAAAGAAAAAAUAUAUAAUGAAGAUAGUGACGUACAACAUAAACGGCUUAAGGCCUCGCAUCUCCCAGUUCGGCUCCCUGCGUAAGCUUCUCGAUUCCCUCGACGCCGAUAUCAUCUGUUUUCAGGAGACCAAGAUCUCCAAACAAGAACUAAGAGCCGAUUUAGUUAGAGCUGAUGGUUAUGAAUCUUUCUUUUCUUGCAAUCGCAACUUCGACAAAUCCCGCGCUGGUUAUUCUGGUACUGACCCCACGUUUUCCUAUAGUGUGUUCACUGGUACUAAAUUCGGAAGUCCAGAAUAAAAGAGAUGAAGAUUUUAGACAUGGGAUUUUGUGAAAGUUUUUAUCUUUAUGCUGAAUAUUGGAAAUUCAAUGGUUUCUUAUUUUAGCAAUUGCGCCAUUUAAUUUGCUUGUGAGUUUUUCUUUUGCUAUGCACAGGUGUUGCGACAUUUUGUCGAGUGAAGUCUGCAUUUUCGAGUGACGAGGUGGCGUUGCCAGUUGCUGCAGAGGAGGGCUUUACUGGGCUUCUUGAGAGUCCUCGAGUAACCGGACCUCAAAAAGAUGAAUGCUCUUCAGCUUUAGAAGGGCUUGAGGAGUUCUCUAGAGAUGAGCUUUUGAAAGUUGACAGUGAGGGGCGAUGUGUCAUCACUGAUCAUAGCCAUUUUGGUAAACUAGCAAGCUUUUGUUACUGGCUAAAAAAAAAAAAAUAUCUGUAUUGCCCCAGUGGCUUAAGGUUGUUUGAUGUGUGGAGCUCUUUCCUAUUUAGUAUCUAUGUUUAUUUUGUCUGGCUUUCUCUGAAUUGACUAAAAAAUUCAGGAGUAUAUGAAUAUUCGAAAAAUGAUAAUAUUGUUGAAGUACGGCUUGAUAACUGGAUUUUGCAGUUCUUUUCAAUGUGUAUGGGCCUCGAGCUGAUUGUGAUGAUACAGAAAGAAUUCAAUUUAAGGGCAUAUUUUUUAAGAUAAUACAGGUAUUUUUUAAAACUUUUUUCCUUCUCCAUUAGAAUGAAUGAUUCAACAAAGUAUUAAAUUUCUGAAGCUAGAUCUAUUUUUCAUUGAUAGUUUAGAUGUAAAGGCAAAGGCAUUUUGGGGGAAAUGCUCUUUUACGGUUAUGCAACACAUUUUUAGCUGUACAAUGAGAUUGUAUGAGCCUAGUAUUUCAGGGGAAAAAAAGGUGACAUGUUAAUAUUCCCAUGCUUCAUGCUUUACUCUCUUGGAGUCACACUGGGUGUUCAGGCUAAUUGCUUUUUGCAUACAUAUUCGAGCUGGUUGUGCACUACGGAAAUCAUUGAAAGUUCAAAUUCUUCUUCUUAUGUUCAAGAUUUAUAAACUCUCUGAAGUUGGAAACUAUGCUGUUGACUUGGUUACCAUACCAUGUGAUUUCUAAAAGGGAAUCGGGGAAGGUAGUUCUGGAUCUGGCAUGUUGUUAUGUAUCUAUCUGCUGUUGUUUGGUUAAGUUCUAGGAUUUUGCCCUUUUGCAUUGGAAUUCCUGGUCUCAUGAGAUGCAAUGUUUUGUGAAAUAGAAUGUUGGGUCACUGGAAAAGAAGCACAGCAAAUUAACUGGGUGUUAACAAUGAAAUGUAUUAGAACUGUUUCAGUCAAUAUCUUUGGAGAUUUGGCUUGGCUUUUUCCUUAGCCAAUACUUUUGAAGUUAAACUCUAUGUUGGUUAUGACAUUGAUUGUGAAAUCUCUGGCGUGUUUAACUAAAAGUAUAGAUGCUCAUUGAAAUCGAGGAUUUGGUGAGAUAUGUCACCCAGAGUAUUCCUCCAAUUCCACCCAACUUCCUACCUCUGCAGCGGCAACCAUUUAAGAUUUCCUUCUUGUGUCUAAGAAGGUUAUAGAUAAUGUCUUUGAUGGAUUAUAGUAUGACUAACUUGUGGUGAUAGGAAUUAUUACUGUUAGAUGUGUAAGCUUCAAACUCUUUGAUUCAUGUUAGCAAUUUCCUUUUAGAGAAGAUGGGAAUGUCUUCUACAUCAAGGACGGCGAGUAUUUGUUGUUGGGGACCUCAACAUUGCUCCUACUGCGAUUGAUCGUUGUGAUGCUGGACCAGAUUUUGAGAAUAAUGAGUAAGCAAUUCUUUAGUUCUCAACUUACUUGUAGGUUUUGCCAUCACAAUGUACUUUUUUGAGUUAAUGUGUAUUUUCAUUGAUUGCAAUUUUUUUCUCACAGGUUUCGGAGGUGGUUUAGAUCUUUGUUGGUGGAAAAUGAAGGACAAUUUGUCGAUGUUUUCAGAACAAAGCAUCCUGACAGGUUCAUUUUGUUGAUUCCUUUAGUUUUUUUUUGUUCUUUCCUCUUGAAGAAAUGUGUUUGAAAUGAUGAAGAUUUUCAUUCUUUGGGAAUUAUACGUAUGAGAUGAUUUUGGUCUUCAAAAAAUGUUCUUAAGAAUUUAUGAAUGUAGAUGUUCUCAAAGUGAUAUUUGUGUUUGAAAUGAUGAAGAUUUUCAUUCUUUGGGAAUUGUAUACGUAUGAGAUGAUUUUGUCUUCAAAAAAUUAUUCUUAAGAAUUUAUGACUGUAGAUGUUCUCCAAGUGAUAUACUGUCAGUCAAGUUAUUUAUUAAGUUUAACUGUCUAGGGUAUAAUUUCAAUUCUAUGAUUCUCUGAUUACUCAUUAUACUUUCCAAGUGAGUUUUAUUCUUUUUGUUUUUUCGUGGAUUUUGAUUUCAAAUCACUGUGCAGAAGAGAAGCCUACACAUGCUGGCCAACAAAUACAGGUGCUGAGGAGUUUAACUUCGGGGCAAGGAUUGACCAUAUUCUUAUUUCUGGAUCAUGCUUACAUGAAGAGUCAGGUCAGGAAGAGCAUAACUUUGUAAGUUGCCAUGUUGAGGACUGUGAGAUUUUGAUCCAAUUCAAGCGGUGGAAACCUGGAAACACACCCAGGUACUAUUGAUUUUCUUGGAUUUAAGUGGAUGAAGAAAUUAUAAUUAUUGUCAUGGAAAUUUGUAAAUUACCUUUUCAAGAAGUGUAGUUAGUUUGGCUGUACAAGCAUAAAUUAUCGUUAGGCAUGCUUAUGUGUCUCAAUUAUUUUGCAUUAUUGUCCGGAUUCAAUAUGUAAAAUUGUUCUCAUCUCUAUUGGUAGGUGGAAAGGAGGAAGAAGCAUUAAAUUGGAAGGUUCGGACCAUGUUCCUGUCUGUGUGAGUUUGGAAGAAAUCCCUAGUGUUCCACCACAUGGUGCUCCUUCAUUAUCUACUAGAUACUGCCCCCAGGUCUACGGAUGUCAGCAAACACUAGGUAUGAGUUUCCUAUUGUACACAGGAAUUGCUUAUCUGGAUGUCACGAGAUUGGUUUCACUUCUGGAAAUCCAUUUACCAUGUCUUUUUUUUGUUUUUUUUGUCACUAUCUAGUAGUCUUCCAUUUCCAUAAGCAAUAUGUUUUAAUGAUUAUACUAAGGUUUUUUUUUUUCUAGUUUGAAUUUUAAACUGAAGAUUAUUGAUGUUGCAUUACCAUUAGUGAGAAAACUUUUGAAUUUUGAACUGAAGAUUGUAGAUGUAGCAUUACUGUGGGUGAGCUAAUGCUGUGCUGGGAUAUUAUACUGCAGUGUCGAUGUUAACAAGGAAACAAUCGGCUGAGAGUUUUAAGAAUUCUGAAGAGUCAAGCUCAUUUUUAGGUACAUCAGAUGGACCAACUUUAUACAUUCUUUGUGGGAUAUUAUUCUGAUGCACCAUUUUUCUUGAUAUAUGACUGUUAAACUUUAGUACAGAAGCUCAUGACUGCUCUGAAGGCUCAGCACGUCAGCGUUCCUGUAGCACAACUUUUUGUUUGGGUAGCAAUCUUGCAAAAGCAGGGCCUCACGUGGAAACCAGGAAGAAAGCAAGACAAAGUCAGUGGUCUCAGCUCUCACUCAAAUCAUUCUUCCAGAAAAGUUCCAGUCACAGUGAGACUUUUGCGAGAUCCACCAAUGACAUCAAGCUUAGUAGGACAGAUGUCUCUGCUUCUUUCUGUUGUUCCAACAGCUCCCCAGUACACGUUGAAGUGAGUAGCAACCCAAAGGAUUGCAUAGCAGAUGUCUCUGCAUCCAGUCCAGCAGACAAUGGGUGUGAUACAAUAGCAGACUGCCAACUUUCAGUAAAAGAAAAGUCUAAUGUUGCCUUAUUGGAGUGGCAAAGGAUACAACAGCAUAUGCAGAACAGUAUACCUCUUUGCAAGGGCCAUAAUGAACCUUGCGUUGCUCGAGUUGUGAAGAAAGCUGGCCCUAACUUGGGCCGCAGAUUUUAUGUCUGCGCUCGCGCUGAGGUAUAGAAAGUUGGUUCUUAGUCUGUCUUGAGCUUGCAGUUUGUACACUUAUUCAUCGUCUCAAAGAAUUUUGCUGCUGCUAAAUUACGAAGAUAAGAAUUCCCUUGUCAAAUUAAAUAAAGAAAGAAAAUUUGCUCCUUGUUGAUAGUUUUAUGCAUUUGAUGUUGAUAUGGCAUUCGAAAUUAUUAUAAUGGAUUGAGCAAUGCUAGAGAAAUUCUCCACUUGAUUCAUCUGUCUGUAUAACAGACUUCUAGAUCUUCUAAAUUCCCAAUUUUAGGAACAAUCUUAGAUUUAUCAUUGUUGUCAUUGCCUCUAGUUUUUCAAUUUCAUGUUCUUUUAGAUUUUUAGGCUUAAUUUCACUGCUGGAGAUUUUAGCUGUUCUCACCUUGCCUAUUGUCUAUGCUGAAAAUAGAAGGAAGUAUAUGGCUCUCUCUCUCUUUCAAUCACACGCUUUCUCGGUUUCCAGUUUCUUGAUUGGGCUACACAGGUUCACGUAGAUUAAUAUUUUUGUCGUGGAGAAAUUGUGCUGAAAAGUGAGAGUCUAUGUGAUCCUUUUGGUUUAACUUAUUACCAAGAAUAUGUCAUUUCCCUUCUUUCAAAAUGCUGCUUUAUUCAUUCAGGGGCCUGCAUCUAAUCCUGAAGCAAACUGUGGGUAUUUUAAGUGGGCUGCUUCAAAUUCCAAGCACAAACGGUGAUGUUGACUGAACUCGUGGUCAGGCUGUGUCGAGAAUGAAACCGUCUUAACAUUUGCUUAUUCUUCACUGCCUUACUGAUGAAGUUCCAAGUAUCAGGUACGAUUCAAGUGAUAUUGAUUUAGAUUUCAAAUUCAACAUGUUUCUGGCAUGCUUAAUGUCUCUGAACUUCUACUCUGAACUUUAAAUUACAGGAUUCUGCUUCCCUGUAGGAUCUUGUACCAUCAUCUUUUUGAGAGAAAAAUCAACUUAGAAUUUGUCCUCUUCCAUACCGGAUCAAGAUUUCAUGUUGGUUUAUUUAUUAGUGAAGAUUGAAGUUUUAGAGUUCUUGAAUUCAAAUCUUACCAGAUUGUAUAUAGUAUUUGUGUUAUGCUACCAAGUGAUGGGGAACUGGAGAUUCAAUUGAAUCUCUUCUAUUGGUUCCAUAAAUAUGAAUCUAGACGUUUUUGGUACUCUAAUCUGUUGUUCUCAGAAAAGGGGAAAAGGAGAAGAAUAGAGCUGCUUCACGUUCUUAGUAACGAAAUAAGUAGACAGAGAGAACUGUAGAGUGUAAUCACAUAAAAAGCCAUAAUAAUGUUUACAUAAUAAUAAUGUGAACUGGGGCAAUUAUUAUUAUUAUUAUUUUUUUGUGCUGCACUGUCAAUAUGAAAAACACAAUCGAUAUUGGAUAUAUGUCAUGCAAUCUAAUUUCAAAUCUAAAAUUCAAUUAUUACACACAUUUAUCUAUAACUAUUAGUAAAACUUGACGGUGUAUAAAAAAUUAAUCCAAUAGCGAUGAUAUUACAUUAGUGCAUGUUGACAUUAGCGUAUAUCAAACAUAAUCCUCCGAGGAUGAUGUAGCCGUCCAUCACAAGAUUGCUUAAACGAAUCAAUGAACCUGUCUUCUUGUCGUGGAAUACAAUAAAAUGUCUCCAUCAAGAUUGCAUUAGAUUGCUAGUCCAUUACGAUCGGUACGCAUAAUUAAAAAGAGCUGCAGCCGGACAGGGCUAAAAUUUGAGUAGCAAUCAAUCCGGUCAGAUUCACCAGAGAAAAAGCAAAACAAUAAAUGAUUUUACCAAAAAUAAGUGUCUGUGCAGCACGUUGGUGUAUACUACUACACCAAAUUUGUAGUUGUGGAUGCAAAUUUGGAAACGUUAACUUCUCUAAUUUCAUAUUGUCUUCUACAGACAAUUUCAUCCCAAGUUAAAUCAAAUCACUACCAUGUUUAAGAUAGACCCCCUCCCCUACAUUCUGCCAAAUUUGAUGUUGCAGUGUACUGAACUUCUCUAAAACUGAGUGCGCUACAGCUAAGAUAAAAGAUCGUAGAUCAAACAGGGCACGAUCUUUUUACUCUUGGAGGUACACACCACAUCACAUCUAAAGCGUCUCUUGGAGUUGGAGGCUAUUUCUUCUGUCUCCAGCUUCUUCUCGUCAAUUUCUUCCAGAUAGAUUCACGCGCACUUUAAUUACACCCUUGAUGAAGGAGGGAUUCGUCACUAAUUAAUUCGACUCCAUCUACUUUACAUGAAUCGUUCAAUUCAUGAGAGGCGCUCGCUUUUCUUUCUCUUCGAUUUUCUGUUUUUCUGGCAUAAAUGGUGUAAUAGUACGGACAGGUUUCGGAUGGGUCCUUCGCUUUCUUUGUAGCCAC
rnacentral:lncRNA from 1 species